ensembl:lncRNA
UUUUUUUUUUGGCUGUUUUGAUUUUUUUCAUCUUUGACCACUCCGAACGCCAAACACUCCUGGGUGCAUUGUACCGGAGAGACUGUUUUUCUCUAUGGUAACUUGGGAGAGUGAGUCUAAGGUCUGCGAUGCUUUACAAGGGGUAACGCCUCGUCCAGAUGCCCACCAGGUCGUUUAUUUGAGGGGUUACGGGCUGACGUCAUCUGUUGGGGUCACACUUUUAAGGUCACUUGCCAUCCAGGGGAUAAAUCGUACCAUCUUGGUGGUUAAACAAUGGUUCUGGUGGCACUCCAUGGCUCGUGAUAUUCGGGAUUUUGUCUUGGCUUGUUCUGUUUGUGCAAGUUGUAAGACUUGCAAUCGACCUCCGGACGGUGUCUUCCAACCGCUGUCAGUUCCUUCGAGACCCUGGUCCCACAUCGCAUUAGAUUUCGUCUCCGGAUUACCUCCGUCUCAGGGGUACAUGGUUGUUUUGACAAUGGUGGACCGGUUCUUGAAGGCGGCUCAUUUCAUUCCCCUGCCCAAAUUUCCAUCAGCCACUGUCAUUGAUCACGUCUUUUGCAUUCAUGGCCUCUCGAAGGACGUGGUCUCUGACAGGGGACCCCAGUUUGUUUCUAAAUUUUGGAAAGUUUUGUCGGUUACUGGGGGCGAGUGUCAGUCUUUCCUCUGGUUUUCAUCUGCAGAGCAAUGGUCAAACGGAGCGGGCCAAUUAGGAUUUGGAAUGGGUGUUAGGAUGUUUGGUGUCUCAGAACCCGUCCUCUUGGAGCCAACAGCUCUCUUGGGUGGAGUACGCACACAAUUCAUUGCCAGGUUCCUGCUAUGGACAUACUGGGUCACUCCCUUAUCGAUCAUUACAAUUGGCAGGUAAGUUCUCCAUUUAGUGCCAGGAGGCGCGCCUAGGGAAAGGGGUAAUGUCACAGUUCACAGUAUUCACUGGCCUCUUCUGGUCAUUUUGUGUAUUGCCACUGAGUUAUCAGCUUCAGCUGUGGCUUGUCAGUGCUCCUACUUAAGCUCUCCGGGUUUGUCUUGUCUUUGUCAGAUCGUUUGGUUACUCGUGUGUGUGUGUGUGUGUG